UAUAUAUAUAUAUACACAAAUACGUCGUGCAAAUCUAAUACAAAUCUGUUAUAUACAGUGCAAGGGAAUGUAAUGGCAGAAGAGGUUGGAUGUGUUGGAUAAAUAUAAGAAAGACUAAACUGUGUAUUGCACAUAGUUAUUGCUCAAUGGGGCAAUUUAACUGUUCAUGAGAUGGAUAGCCUGAGGGAAAAAACUGUUCCUGUGCCUGACGGUUCUGCUGCUCAGAGCUCUGAAGCGUUGGCCAGAAGGCAACAGUUCAAAAAUGUAGUGGGCAGGGUGAGUGGGGUCCAGAGUGAUUUUUCCAGCCCUUUUCCUCACUCUGGAAGUGUGUAGUUCUUGAACGGGGUGCAGGGGGCAACCAAUAAUCCUCUCAGUAUUCCAAACUGUCCUUUGUAGUCUUCUGAUGUCUGAUUUCGUAGCUGAACCAAACCAGACAGUUAUUGAAGUGCAGAGGACAGACUCAAUGACUGCUGAGUACAGCUGUAUCAGCAGCACCUGUGGCAGGUUGAAUUUCCUCAACUGGCAAAGGAAGCACAACCUCUGCUGGGCCUUUUUCACAAUGGAGUCAAUGUGUGUCUCCCACUUCAGGUCCCAUGAGAUGGUAGUGCCCAGGAACCUGAAUGACUCCACUGCUGCCACAGUGCUGUUUAGAAUGGUGAGGGGGUCAGUGUUGGGGUGUUCCUCCUAAAGUCCACAAUCAUCUCCACCAUUUUGAGCGUGUUCAGCUCAAGGUUGUUUUGACUGCACCAGACAGCCAGCUGUUUAACCUCCCUUCUGUAUGCAGACUCAUCGUCAUCUCGGAUGAGGCCGAGAUCAGAACAUCAGUGUUUCCUUUCAUGAUGCUCAUGUAGUCCAGGUGUUACAUCUGGUCUCAGACCUGUGCUCUCAACCUGUGGUUUUCCCCAUGAGCAUGAAUCAUAAAGCAGCAGGAUGUGUGUGUGCAAAUGUGUCACACAUGCUUUGCGAGAUUUGCCAGCGUUGGCCUGUCUUCAUCCUACUGAUACAGUGAACAGAAAUGGCUGCACAGACAGAUGUCCCCUUUUGCCUUAAAGUGAGCAUGGGGAGAGCGGCAUAAAGAGAGCGACACAACGCUCAGUGGGAGAGACUGGAUAUGACAGAGCCGAGCCAGAGCAACGAUUCCCGAGUAGUGAA